rnacentral:rRNA from 1 species
GAUGAACGCUGGUGGCGUGCCUAAUACAUGCAAGUCGAGCGAACGGACGAGGAGCUUGCUUCUCUGAUGUUGGCGGCGGACGGGUGAGUAACACGUGGAUAACCUACCUAUAAGACUGGGAUAACUUCGGGAAACCGUAGCUAAUACCGGAUAAUAUUUUGAACCGCAUGGUUCAAAAGUGAAAGACGGUCUUCUGUCACUUAUAGAUGGAUCCGCGCUGCAUUAGCUAGUUGGUAAGGUAACGGCUUACCAAGGCAACGAUGCAUAGCCGACCUGAGAGGGUGAUCGGCCACACUGGAACUGAGACACGGUCCAGACUCCUACGGGAGGCAGCAGUAGGGAAUCUUCCGCAAUGGGCGAAAGCCUGACGGAGCAACGCCGCGUGAGUGAUGAAGGUCUUCGGAUCGUAAAACUCUGUUAUUAGGGAAGAACAUAUGUGUAAGUAACUGUGCACAUCUUGACGGUACCUAAUCAGAAAGCCACGGCUAACUACGUG